GGACUUGGAUGAUACCUUCAUUGA
rnacentral:siRNA from 1 species